AAGCGGCAACAGCUCAAAUUUGAAAUCUGGCUUCGGCCCGAGUUGUAAUUUGUAGAGGAAACUUUUGGUGAGGCACCUUCUGAGUCCCUUGGAACAGGGCGCCAUAGAGGGUGAGAGCCCCGUAUAGUCGGAUGCCGAUCCAAUGUAAAGUUCCUUCGACGAGUCGAGUAGUUUGGGAAUGCUGCUCAAAAUGGGAGGUAAAUUUCUUCUAAAGCUAAAUAUAGGCCAGAGACCGAUAGCGCACAAGUAGAGUGAUCGAAAGAUGAAAAGCACUUUGAAAAGAGGGUUAAAUAGCACGUGAAAUUGUUGAAAGGGAAGCGUUUGUGACCAGACUUGCGCCGUUCCGAUCAUCCGGUGUUCUCACCGGUGCACUCGGGGCGGCUCAGGCCAGCAUCGGUUUUGGUGGGGGGAUAAAGGUUCAGGGAACGUAGCUCCUCCGGGAGUGUUAUAGCCCUGGGCGUAAUGCCCUCGCUGGGACCGAGGUUCG
rnacentral:rRNA from 1 species